rnacentral:lncRNA from 1 species
AUUUUUUAUUAAGGUAAAAUUUGCAUACAGUAAGAAGUACAGAUCUUAAGUUUACAAUGAGUUUGUCAAGUGUAUACAACUGUGUAAACACCCCAUCAACAUGCAGAACACAUCACCCCAGAAAGCUCUCCUGCUACUUUCCAACCAAUCCCCUCUUGCCAAGGCAUUCACUGUUUUGCCAUCUAUUAUAACAGUUUUGUCUGUUUUUGAACUCUGCAUAAAUGGAAUCACAUAGCUUGAACUCAACUUUGUCAUCUUUGGCACAUUACGUUUCAGAGAUUAUGUUGUGUGUAUCAGCAGCUCAUUUUUUUUUUUUUUUUUUGCUAAUACUCCAUUUUAUGAAUAUUCUCUAAUUCAAAUGAUCUAUCCUUGAAGGGAGAUUUGAUUUUGCUUUCCAAUUAGCAUUCUUUGACAGGUUAGUUGCAAAUGCAAAUACCUUUCUUCUGAAUUUCUCUAAUGCAAGGAAGUAAAACCAGAGAGAAAAGUCUCACCUCUUCUUCAUCUACUUUUAUAAAACUUAACAAGGAUAAACAGAUAAUGUAGUGAUCCUAAUAGGUAGUGAAAUAACAUGAGCUCCCUUAUCUCCCUUUCCAAUCUUAAAGAGGGUCUUCCCUGUAUUGCCUGUGAGGUACCAUUUCUUUCCUUUCCUUUCCAGUCUCGCUCUGUCGCCUAGGCUGGAGUGCAGUGGUGGGAUCUUGGCUCACUGCAACCUCCACCUCCCAGGUUCAAACAAUUCUCUUGCCUCAGCCUCCCGAGUAGCUGGGAUGACAGGCAUGUGCCACCAUGCCCAGCUAAUUUUUGUAUUUUUUUUUAGUAGAGACAGGGUUUUGCCAUGUUGGCCAGGCUGGUCUCUAACUCCUGACCUCAGGUGAUCCACCGGCCUUGGCCUCAAAAGUGCUGUGAUUACAGGCAUGAGCCACUGCGCCUGGCCUGAGGUGCCAUUUCUAAAUGAUGUGCCAAUUCUAAAACUGGAUUGUCCCUGUGACUUUCAUGUUGCUAGGGCUAACUUGCAGAACUAACCUGACUUGCACCUCUACUAAAUAACUGUUUUAAACUUCAGGGCUAAGUCCUUUUCUUUUUCUUUUUUGGUAGAUUUAUUCAAUUCUGUGCAUGAAUAACUCCUCUAAGUCCUUUUCUUUUUCUUUUUUGGUAGAUUUAUUCAAUUCUGUGCAUGAAUAACUUCUCUAAGUCCUUUUAUAGAUCCCUGAUUGAUGACGUAGCAUAAUACUUUAUAGCAUAGUAGCUAUUUAAAACUUUCCUGCCAGGCACGGUGGCUCACCCCUGUAAUCACAGCACUUUGGGAGGCCGAGGCAGGUGGAUCGCCUGAGGUUGGGAGUUCUAGACCAGCCUGGUCAGCAAAGUGAAACUCCGUCUCUACUAAAAAUACAAAAAUUAGCCAGGCAUGGUGGCACUUGCCUGUAAUCCCAGCUACUCGGAGGCUGAGGUAGGAGAAUUGCUUGACCCCAGGAGGCAGAGGUUGCAGUGAGCUGAGAUCGCGCCACUGCACUCCAGCCUGGGCAACAGAGAGAGGCUCCAUCUCAAAAAAAAAAAAAAAAAACUUUCCUAGUUUGAACAAAGAUGCACUUUGAGUUGUCAUAACAUUUACCAGUUAUAUACUGGUACUGGUUAAAAGAACACAGUCCUGCAAGUUGUCAGCUGGUUCGCGUCAAUGAUAAAAAGAGACUAAUGGCAUCCCUUUCAGCAAAGGGCAGGAGAAGAGAACUAACCUUGUGCUAUUUAACCUAUUUUUUUUAAAUGUAGAAAUCACUUCUAAGAGUGGCCUUAAUAUUCCAUUCCUGGCCGGGCGCGGUGGCUCACGCCUGUAAUCCCAGCACUUUGGGAGGCCGAGGCGGGUGGAUCACAAGGUGAGGAGAUCGAGACCAUCCUGGCUAACACGGUGAAACCCCGUCUCUACUAAAUAUACGAAAAAAAAAAAAUUAGCCGAGCAUAGUGGCGGGCACCUGUAUUCCCAGCUACUUGGGAGGCUGAGGCAGGAGAAUGGCGUGAACCCAGGAGGCGAAGCUUGCAGUGAGCCAAGAUCGCGCCACUGCACUCCAGCCUGGGCGACAGAGCAAGACUCCGUCUCAAAAAAAAAAAAAAAAAAAAUUAGCCAGGCAUGGUGGUGCAUACCCGUAAUCUCAGCUACUGGGGAGGCUGAGGCAGGAGAAUAGCUUGAGCUCAGGAGGCGGAGGUUGCGGUGGGCUGAGAUCUCGCCA